rnacentral:tRNA from 1 species
CUGCUAGUAGUAUAAUAAAUACAUUUGGUUUCGACCCAAAAGAUCAAUAGCUGGCAGG